rfam:Gossypium arboreum cultivar AKA8401 contig_380_23, whole genome shotgun sequence.
GAAAGCUGGAACUUAAUUAUAAAUUGUUUGAGCCCUAAUUAUAUAUGUCCAAUUAGCCCCUCUGUUAUGGGCCUGAGCCAUCUGGAAGAUACCACUCUGGAAGAGUUAGAAUUCUAACCUUGUGUCAAGAGCUACAGGCUAAGAGACAAUCUCAAGUAAACAGUUCCUAUGGGGCGUAGGCUUCUAAAAAGGUAAUGGAUGCGUGAAAAGGUUUCUUCAGGUCUUACAAGAUUGGCCCUUGAGUGUAAAGGCAGAAGGGAGCUUAACAAGAAGACCUAACCGUCAAGUAGGGAUGAAAGUUGGCCUUAGUGAUCCGAUGGUGUCGAGCGGAAGGACUGUCGCUCAAUAAAUAAAAGUUACUCUAGGGAUAAUGGGUUGAUCUUCCCCAAUCACAUCGACGGGAAGGCUUGGCAGCUCGAUGUUGGCCUUAUUAAAACCAAAAAUAAAUUGCGUAUAGAUCC